rnacentral:lncRNA from 1 species
GGAAGGGAGGAAGCGUAGAAGGUGCCGAUGCACUUUUCCUCUCUCCAGCCCUCCUGACUGCUCCAAGAAUUUCAUCGAACAAGACUCAAAGAGGCCCAGCUGCUCUGCGUUUUGAUUCUUCUCCCUCUCUCAGUCCACACUGACCUGGGAGGGGCUUCUCAAACACCACAUUUCCUAGCGUGCUGUGAGAAGAGGACUGUGAGCUAAGAAGGGAGAAAAGGCACUCCCUCCUCAUCAACAAACACCUGACCUGGGUAGACCCUCUGCUUACCAAGAUCCAGUCCACCUUUUGACAUCAGCAUUCAUGCUGCCUCUUUUUACGAACCAAGCCAAAGUGGUCCCUUCCUCUGGAAAUUAUAGGAUACUUAAUGUACAUCAUAUCCAGCACUUUCCAUCAAAAAGCAGAGUAUUUCAGCAUCAUCUGAACCUGGGCUAGACUUAGGACUUAUACUGAUGAACAAAAUGUGACAGGAGUGAUGUUACUCAGUUCCAAGCUUAAGCCUCUAGAGACAGACUCUGCAGCUUCCACUUACAUCUCUUGAAUGCCAUCCUGAGAGCAACAUGUGAAAAAGUCCAAGCUAGCCUACUGGAAGAUGAAAGACUACAUGGAACACAGACAAGCCAUUCCGGCUGAGGCCCCCUAAGCCAACCUAACAAUCCACCCACAGAAUUGUGAGAAGUCAUUAAAUUAUCCUUUUAAACCACUAA